CUAAGUUUGAUGGCGACCGGCGCACGGGUGAGUAACACGUAUCCAACCUGCCGAUGACUCGGGGAUAGCCUUUCGAAAGAAAGAUUAAUACCCGAUGGCAUAGUUCUUCCGCAUGGUAGAACUAUUAAAGAAUUUCGGUCAUCGAUGGGGAUGCGUUCCAUUAGGUUGUUGGCGGGGUAACGGCCCACCAAGCCUUCAAUGGAUAGGGGUUCUGAGAGGAAGGUCCCCCACAUUGGAACUGAGACACGGUCCAAACUCCUACGGGAGGCAGCAUG
rnacentral:rRNA from 1 species